rnacentral:tRNA from 1 species
GCACCACUAGCUCAGCUGGCAGAGCAACUGACUCUUAAUCAGUGGGUCCUGGGUUCGAAUCCCCGGUGGUGCACCA